rnacentral:rRNA from 1 species
AUUGAACGCUGGCGGCAGGCCUAACACAUGCAAGUCGAACGGUAACAGGAAACAGCUUGCUGUUUCGCUGACGAGUGGCGGACGGGUGAGUAAUGUCUGGGAAACUGCCUGAUGGAGGGGGAUAACUACUGGAAACGGUAGCUAAUACCGCAUAACGUCGCAAGACCAAAGAGGGGGACCUUCGGGCCUCUUGCCAUCGGAUGUGCCCAGAUGGGAUUAGCUAGUAGGUGGGGUAACGGCUCACCUAGGCGACGAUCCCUAGCUGGUCUGAGAGGAUGACCAGCUACACUGGAACUGAGACACGGUCCAGACUCCUACGGGAGGCAGCAGUGGGGAAUAUUGCACAAUGGGCGCAAGCCUGAUGCAGCCAUGCCGCGUGUAUGAAGAAGGCCUUCGGGUUGUAAAGUACUUUCAGCGGGGAUGAAGGGAGUAAAGUUAAUACCUUUGCUCAUUGACGUUACCCGCAGAAGAAGCACCGGCUAACUCCGUG